rnacentral:rRNA from 1 species
GUGCCAGCAGCCGCGGUAAUACGUAGGGCGCAAGCGUUAUCCGGAAUUAUUGGGCGUAAAGAGCUCGUAGGCGGUUUGUCGCGUCUGCUGUGAAAACGCGGGGCUCAACUCCGCGCCUGCAGUGGGUACGGGCAGACUAGAGUGCGGUAGGGGAGAUUGGAAUUCCUGGUGUAGCGGUGGAAUGCGCAGAUAUCAGGAGGAACACCGAUGGCGAAGGCAGAUCUCUGGGCCGUGACUGACGCUGAGGAGCGAAAGGGUGGGGAGCAAACAGGCUUAGAUACCCUGGUAGUCCACCCCGUAAACGUUGGGAACUAGUUGUGGGGGCCUUUCCACGGUCUCCGCGACGCACCUAACGUAUUAACUUCCCCGCCUGGG